rnacentral:rRNA from 1 species
UACGUAGGGAGCAAGCGUUGUCCGGAUUUACUGGGUGUAAAGGGUGCGUAGGCGGCUUAGCAAGUCAGGCGUGAAAACUAUGGGCUUAACCCAUAGACUGCGUUUGAAACUGUUGAGCUUGAGUGAAGUAGAGGUAGGCGGAAUUCCCGGUGUAGCGGUGAAAUGCGUAGAGAUCGGGAGGAACACCAGUGGCGAAGGCGGCCUACUGGGCUUUAACUGACGCUGAGGCACGAAAGCAUGGGUAGCAAAC